AUUUGCGAGAACCGAUAGCGACAAGUACCGUGAGGGAAAGAUGAAAAGAACUUUGAAAGAGAGUUAAAAGUAUGUGAAAUUGUUGAAAGGGAAACGAUUGAAGUCAGUCGUGCAGUCAUCAACUCAGCGGUAGCGUGAGUAAUUUUAUUGCUUACGUUUUCGUGUACUUUGUUGUCUGCUGGUUAGCUCAAUUUUGAUUGUCAUAAAAAGGUUAAGGGGAUGUGGCUCCUUCGGGAGUGUUAUAACCUUAGCGGAAUGUGGCGAUUGGGAUUGAGGUUUGCAACGAAUACCUUUAGGGCAGUUCCUCUGGUCUCUGAAAGUUGCUUAGGUGCCGAAAGCGUGCUUACGGUCAUCUAAGUUGACGUCAACAGGUUAGAACGUGAUUACAUUCGUUAAGGACGUUGGCGUAAUGGCUUUAAACGA
rnacentral:rRNA from 1 species